rnacentral:rRNA from 1 species
GAUGAACGCUGGCGGCGUGCCUAAUACAUGCAAGUCGAGCGAACAGACGAGGAGCUUGCUCCUCUGACGUUAGCGGCGGGCGGGUGAGUAACACGUGGAUCACCUACCUAUAAGUCUGGUAUAACUUCGGGAAACCGGAGCUAAUACCAGAUAAUCUAUUGCACCGCAGGGUUCGAUAGUGAAAUACGGCUUUUGUGUAACUUCUAGAGGGAUCCGCGCCGCAUUAGCUAGUUGGUAAGGUAACGGGUUACCAAGGCAACGAUGCGUAGCCGACCUGAGAGGGUGAUAGCCCACCCUGGAACGGAGACGGGGUCAAGACUCCUACGGUAGGGAGCAGAAGGGAAUCGUCCGCAAUGGGCGAAAGCCUGACGGAGCAACGCGGCGUGAGUGAUGAAGGUGCUCGGAUCGUAAAACCCUGUUAUUAGGGAAGAACAAAUGUGUAAGUAACUAUGCACGUCUUGACGGUACCUAAUCAAAAAGCCACGGCUAACUACGUG